GCACUUCGGUAGGAAAAUGGGACAAAAAAUUCGAUAAGAUGGAAGAAUUAGACAAUAUUCACAACAAACAAGUAAAUAGAACAAGGGAGCACCAUGGACUUGGUAGAACAACAUGAUAGACCCAAAAGAGCAACAUCACAAUGCCUCCGGAACAAGAGAAUAUGAACUAGCUCAAGCGGAAGAAGAGAAUGAAGAAAAGAAUGACAACUACCAUCACAAUAGAAUUGAAGAGCCUCCGGACAAAGAAUUGACGUAGUAGUUGGGAAACAAACAACAAAAAUAAC
rnacentral:lncRNA from 1 species